GGUGGAGUGACCGAGUGGUUAAGGUGCUGUGUUUAGGCCGCAGUGGGAAACCGCGCGAGUUCGAAUCUCGUCUCCAUCA